AAUGAACGCUGGCGGCAUGCCUAACACAUGCAAGUCGAACGAAGGCUUCGGCCUUAGUGGCGCACGGGUGCGUAACGCGUGGGAAUCUGCCCUCAGGUUCGGAAUAACAGCGAGAAAUUGCUGCUAAUACCGGAUGAUAUCGCGAGAUCAAAGAUUUAUCGCCUGAGGAUGAGCCCGCGUAGGAUUAGCUAGUUGGUGUGGUAAAGGCGCACCAAGGCGACGAUCCUUAGCUGGUCUGAGAGGAUGAUCAGCCACACUGGGACUGAGACACGGCCCAGACUCCUAGGGGAGGCAGCAGUGGGGAAUAUUGGACAGUGGGCGAAAGCCUGAUCCAGCAAUGCCGCGUGAGUGAUGAAGGCCUUAGGGUUGUAAAACUCUUUUACCCGGGAUGAUAAUGACAGUACCGUGAGAAUAAGCUCCGGCUAACUCCGUGCCAGCCGCCGCCGUAA
rnacentral:rRNA from 1 species